CUAAGCGUACACGGUGGAUGCCCUGGCAGUCAGAGGCGAUGAAGGGCGUGCUAAUCUGCGAUAAGCGCCGGUAAGGUGAUAUGAACCGUUAUAACCGGCGAUACCCGAAUGGGGAAACCCAGUGUGACUCGUCACACUAUCAUUAACUGAAUCCAUAGGUUAAUGAGGCGAACCGGGGGAACUGAAACAUCUAAGUACCCCGAGGAAAAGAAAUCAACCGAGAUUCCCCCAGUAGCGGCGAGCGAACGGGGAGGAGCCCAGAGCCUGAAUCAGCAUGUGUGUUAGUGGAAGCGUCUGGAAAGGCGCGCGAUACAGGGUGACAGCCCCGUACACAAAAGCGCAUGUGCUGUGAGCUCGAUGAGUAGGGCGGGACACGUGGUAUCCUGUCUGAAUAUGGGGGGACCAUCCUCCAAGGCUAAAUACUCCUGACUGACCGAUAGUGAACCAGUACCGUGAGGGAAAGGCGAAAAGAACCCCGGCGAGGGGAGUGAAAAAGAACCUGAAACCGUGUACGUACAAGCAGUGGGAGC
rnacentral:rRNA from 1 species